rnacentral:tRNA from 1 species
AGGGCAGUAGCUCAAUUGGCAGAGCACCGGUCUCCAAAACCGACGGUUGGGGGUUCAAAUCCCUCCUGCCCUG